rnacentral:rRNA from 1 species
CCUACGGGUGGCAGCAGUGGGGAAUAUUGCACAAUGGGGGAAACCCUGAUGCAGCGACGCCGCGUGAAGGAAGAAGUAUUUCGGUAUGUAAACUUCUAUCAGCAGGGGAGAAAAUGACGGUACCUGACUACGAAGCCCCGGCUAACUACGUGCCAGCAGCCGCGGUAAUACGGAGGGAGCAAGCGAUAUCCGGAUUUACUGGGUGUAAAGGGAGCGUAGGCGGUUUAGCAAGUCAGAAGUGAAAGCCCGGGGCUCAACUCCGGGACUGCUGUUGAAACUGUUGUACUAGAUUGCAGGAGAAGUAUGUGGAAUGCGUAGUGUAGCGGUGAAAUGCGUAGAUAUUAGGAAGAACUCCAGUGGCGAAGGCAGCAUACUGGACUGUAAAUGACGCUGAGGCACGAAAGCGUGGGUAGCGAACAGGAUUAGAUACCCGGGUAGUC